rnacentral:hammerhead_ribozyme from 1 species
AUCCAUCUGACGAGUCUUAAAUAGGAUGAAACACGAUUCCUGGAU